AUGUUGUAAGAAAGGAGAGAAGGUUAGCGCUGCCCUUGACAAGGACGGAAGACGACCUAGUGGCUUGCAACACAUAUAAGUUUAU